GUACGCUAGGUUCAUAUCAUCAGCAACGCGUUAUUCAAGUCACUCCCUCUGUUGCAGUGAGUUGUCGGCUAUUCAAAUUUCAAGUAUUCUAAUCUGUCUUCUCACCUACGUACAUAUAUCUACGUACAUCGCAUCUCGUUUCGAUAACGAGAGCAACGUUUGUCUAGCGAAGAAGUUGGAACUGUGCGUAUCAAGAGAAUUAAAUGACAAUAAGUCGCAAGAACCAUACGCGCCAGAUGACACCUGGAAGAAAAGACGCUUAAACACAGACUCCUUUCACUUCCUAAACACCAGAAGAAGAAGAAGAAGAAGAAGAAGAAGAAGAAUAAGAAGCGAAAUUUGGACGAA
rnacentral:misc_RNA from 1 species